UGGGGAAUCUUCCGCAAUGGGCGAAAGCCUGACGGAGCAACGCCGCGUGAAUGAAGAAGGCCUUCGGGUCGUAAAGUUCUGUCUUUUGGGAAGAAGGCCCUUGAGGUAAAUAAUCUUGAGGGAUGACAGUACCAGAGGAGGAAGCUCCGGCUAACUACGUGCCAGCAGCCGCGGUAAUACGUAGGGAGCGAGCGUUGUCCGGAAUUACUGGGCGUAAAGGGCGCGUAGGCGGGUAUUUAAGUCAGAUGUGAAAGCCCCGGGUGUAACUCGGGGAUUGCAGUUGAAACUGGGUAUCUUGAGGGCAGGAGAGGAAAGUGGAAUUCCUAGUGUAGCGGUGGAAUGCGUAGAUAUUAGGAGGAACACCAGUGGCGAAGGCGACUUUCUGGACUGUACCUGACGCUGAGGCGCGAAAGCAUGGGGAGCAAACG
rnacentral:rRNA from 1 species